GUUAGGAAUAUUGGACAAUGGGCGCAAGCCUGAUCCAGCCAUGCCGCGUGAGUGAUGAAGGCCUUCGGGUUGUAAAGCUCUUUAGUCCACGAAUAUAAUGACUGUAGUGGAAGAAUAAGCCCCGGCUAACUUCGUGCCAGCAGCCGCGGUAAUACGAAGGGGGCGAGCGUUAUUCGGAAUCACUGGGCGUAAAGCGUGCGUAGGCUGUUUUGUCAGUCAGAAGUGAAAGCCCAGGGCUUAACCCUGGAAUUGCUUUUGAAACUACAAGAAUCGAAUUCGGGAGAGGAUAGCGGAAUUGUCAGUGUAGCAGUGAAAUGCGUAGAUAUUGACAGGAACACCAGUGGCGCAAGCGGCUAUCUGGACCGAUAUUGACGCUGAGGCACGAAAGCGUGGGGAGCAAACAGGAUUAGAUACCCGGGUAGUCC
rnacentral:rRNA from 1 species